UGGCUGUCUUGAUAAGCAGAAUUUGUUCUUCCUCUUGGUAAUGGCUAAAUUAUUAUUAAUGCUUUUAAUGGUUUUAUUUUUUAUAUUUUUCUUUUUUGUGGAGAAUGGGGUCUCGCUAUGUUGCCCAGGCAGGUCUCGAACUCCUGGGCUCAAGCUUUCCUCCUCUCUCUGGCUCCCUAAGUGCUAGGAUUACAGGUGUGAGCUACCAUGCCCAGCUAUUUUUAAUUAAAAAAAUUUUUUUUUUCCAUGACUUGUGACACAGUCUCAGAAGGCCCUGAGAACGUACGCUCCAAUGCUACUGAUUUAGAAAACUAUCUGGGAAGAAACUAAGUGUUAAAUGUUGAAAGGCUAGAAAUAACUUACAAAUAGAAGAUGGAAACAAUGUGUUCAAUGAAAAUCUAGCAGGUUAUUUAUUAUUUAUUUAAAUUAUUAUUAUUAUUUUUGAGACGGAGCCUUGCUUUGUCACCCAGGAUGGAGUGCAGUGGUGCAGUCUUGGCUCACUGGAACCUUCGGCUCACUGCAACCUCCACCUCUCGGGUUUAAGCGAUUCUCUUGCCUCAGCCUCCUGAGUAGCUGGGAUUACAGGUGACCACCACCAUGCCUGGCUGAUUUUUGUUAUUUUAGUAGAGACAGGGUUGCAGCAUGUUGGCCAGGCUGGUCUCAAACUCCUCACCUAACUAAGGUAAUCCACUUGCGUCAGCCUCCCAAAGGCCUGGGAUUACAGGCAUGAGCCACCAUGCCUAGCUGUAUUUAUUUAUGUUAUUUAUUUUGAGAUGGAGUCUUGCUCUGUAGCCCAGACUGGUGUGCAGAAGUGCGAUCUCAGCUCACUGCAACCUCCACCUCCCAGGUUCAUGCUAUUCUCCUGCCUCAGACUCCCGAGUAGCUGGGAUUACAGGCACCCACCACCAUGCCUGGCUAAUUUUUGUAUUUUUAGUAGAGACGGGGUUUCACCAUGUUGUCCAGGCUGGUCCCGAACUCCUGACCUCAAGUGAUACACCUCAGCCUCCCAAAGUACUAGGAUAACAGGCAUGAGCCACCAUGGCCAGCCUAUAGCAGGUAAUUUAGUCCAGUCCUUAUCAGAUGCAUGAGACCCCUCUAAAAGAUGCUAUCAAGUCAUAAUCUUUCUGAUUUUCUUUUCUGGCCCAAGGUCAGGUCAUCAGGCAGUAGGUUAAUUACAUGAAGAUGUGUUCCUGUACCUUCUCCUUUGCAUUUGUACUACCUCACAUCUGGUACUAAUACAAAUAACUAAAACAUGGACACAGUAGCAUUUCUUUUCUGCAUGAGAUCAAGAUAUAUUUUUAUACAGUUAUGUCAUUAAUACUGG
rnacentral:lncRNA from 10 species